rnacentral:sRNA from 1 species
CAGGUUCGAAUCCUGCACGACCCACCAAUUUAACAUCAAACUCAGAUGUUAAGCGUGAAGGAUAACGUUGCGUCAGCAACGGCCCGUAGGGCGAGCGAAGCGAGUCAUCCUGCACGACCCACCA